CCAUCUGGAAGAAUCUGGAGACAGGUGCUGCAUGGCUGUCGUCAGCUCGUGUCGUGAGAUGUUGGGUUAAGUCCCGCAACGAGCGCAACCCUUGCCUUUAGUUGCCAGCAGUUCGGCUGGGCACUCUAAAGGGACUGCCGGUGUUAAACCGGAGGAAGGUGGGGGAUGACGUCAAGUCCUCAUGGCCUUUAUGACCAGGGCUACACACGUACUACAGUGGCCGAUACAAAGGGCAGCGACACUGCGAGGUGAAGCCAAUCCCGUAAAAUCGGUCUCAGUCCGGAUUGGAGUCUGCAACUCGACUCCAUGAAGUUGGAAUCGCUAGUAAUCGUGGAUCAGCAUGCCACGGUGAAUACGUUCCCGGGCCUU
rnacentral:rRNA from 1 species